rnacentral:hammerhead_ribozyme from 1 species
AUCCGGCUGACGAGUCUCAAAUAGGACAAAGUGAGCGUCGUGGAU